rnacentral:rRNA from 1 species
UACGGGGGGGGCAAGCGUUGUUCGGAAUUACUGGGCGUAAAGCGUGCGCAGGCGGCGCGUUAAGACAGGUGUGAAAGCCCCGAGCUUAACUUGGGAAUUGCGCUUGUGACUGGCGUGCUGGAGUGUGGCAGAGGGAGGUGGAAUUCCACGUGUAGCAGUGAAAUGCGUAGAUAUCUGGAGGAACACCGGUGGCGAAGGCGGCGUCCUGGACCAACACUGACACUGAGGAGCGAAAGCCAGGGGAGCAAACGGG